AUUGAACGCUGGCGGCAGGCCUAACACAUGCAAGUCGAACGAGUGGCGGACGGGUGAGUAAUGUAUGGGAAACUGCCUGAUGGAGGGGGAUAACUACUGGAAACGGUAGCUAAUACCGCAUACCAUCAGAUGUGGCCAGAUGGGAUUAGCUUGUUGGUGGGGUAACGGCGCACAAGGGCGACGAUCCCUAGCUGGUCUGAGAGGAUGACCCGCCACUCGGGAACGGAGACACGGUCCAGACUCCUACGGGAGGCAGCAGUGGGAAAUAUUGCCCAAUGGGCGAAAUCCUGAUGCAGCCAUGCCGCGUGUAUGAAGAAGGCGUUCGGGUUGUAAAGUACUUUCAGUGGGGAGGCGUUACCCGCAGAAGAAGCACCGGCUAACUCCGUGCCAGCAGCCGCGGUAAUUC
rnacentral:rRNA from 1 species